AGGGUUGUAGUUAAAUUUUUAACAUUUAAUUUGCAUUUAAAAAAAAUUGAAUUAUUCAAUCUACCUUA
rnacentral:tRNA from 1 species